rfam:Haemonchus contortus, ISE/inbred ISE, WGS project CAVP01000000 data, contig: Hcontortus_contig_pathogens_Hcontortus_scaffold_15458
GGCCCAAACUCGAAGUAGAAUAGAUUAGGAGGAUCAUAUGACCCUAAUAACCUACUCUAUUUAGAGUUUGUGCCC